rnacentral:rRNA from 1 species
GUGCCAGCAGCCGCGGUAAUACGAAGGGGGCUAGCGUUGUUCGGAAUUACUGGGCGUAAAGCGCGCGCAGGCGGUCUUUUAAGUCAGGGGUGAAAGCCCAGAGCUCAACUCUGGAAUUGCCUUUGAAACUAGAAGACUUGGGUACGGGAGAGGUGAGUGGAAUUCCGAGUGUAGAGGUGAAAUUCGUAGAUAUUCGGAAGAACACCAGUGGCGAAGGCGGCUCACUGGCCCGUUACCGACGCUCAGGCGCGACAGCGUGGGGAUCAAACAGGAUUAGAAACCCCUGUAGUCC